AAGUGGUGUAAGGCCUUUCAGGUUUCAACGUAUGUGGGGGACUCAAGAGGGUUUUUUGGAGGUGGUUCGGACUUUCCGGGGUAGGCCAGUGGAGGGAUGUGCUAUGGUGCGUGUUAGCAAGAAAUUGAAACGGCUCAAAAAAGAUUUACUAAAAUGGAAUGUUGAGGCGGUUGGAAGAGGUGAGGUUGAAAUA